rnacentral:rRNA from 1 species
GGGCCCGCACAAGCGGUGGAGUAUGUGGUUUAAUUCGAUGCAACGCGAAGAACCUUACCAGGGUUUGACAUCCUGCGAAUCUCUUGGAAACAGGAGAGUGCCUUCGGGAACGCAGUGACAGGUGGUGCAUGGCUGUCGUCAGCUCGUGUCGUGAGAUGUUGGGUUAAGUCCCGCAACGAGCGCAACCCACGUCUUUAGUUGCCAGCAUUUAGUUGGGCACUCUAGAGAGACUGCCGGUGAUAAACCGGAGGAAGGUGUGGAUGACGUCAAGUCAUCAUGGCCCUUAUGACCAGGGCUACACACGUGCUACAAUGGUCGGUACAGAGGGCAGCCAACCCGCGAGGGGAGCCAAUCCCACAAAGCCGAUCGUAGUCCGGAUUGCAGUCUGCAACUCGACUGCAUGAAGUCGGAAUCGCUAGUAAUCG